GUGCUCGCUUCAGCAGCACAUACACUAACAUCUGAACAAUACACAGAGAAGAUUAGCAUGGCCUCUGCACAAGGAUGACAAGCAAAUUCAUGAAGCAUUCCAUAUUUUG
ensembl:snRNA U6 U6 spliceosomal RNA